rnacentral:rRNA from 1 species
AGUCGAACGGAAAGGCCCUGCUUUUGUGGGGUGCUCGAGUGGCGAACGGGUGAGUAACACGUGAGUAACCUGCCCUUGACUUUGGGAUAACUUCAGGAAACUGGGGCUAAUACCGGAUAGGAGCUCCUGCUGCAUGGUGGGGGUUGGAAAGUUUCGGCGGUUGGGGAUGGACUCGCGGCUUAUCAGCUUGUUGGUGGGGUAGUGGCUUACCAAGGCUUUGACGGGUAGCCGGCCUGAGAGGGUGACCGGCCACAUUGGGACUGAGAUACGGCCCAGACUCCUACGGGAGGCAGCAGUGGGGAAUAUUGCACAAUGGGCGGAAGCCUGAUGCAGCAACGCCGCGUGCGGGAUGACGGCCUUCGGGUUGUAAACCGCUUUCGCCUGUGACGAAGCGUGAGUGACGGUAA